UACGGAGGAUGCAAGCGUUAUCCGGAAUGAUUGGGCGUAGAGCGUCCGUAGGUGGUUUUGUAAGUCUGUGGUUAAAGCGUGGAGCUCAACUCCAUAAGGGCCAUGGAAACUACAAGACUAGAGUGAAGUAGGGGUAGAGGGAAUUCCCAGUGUAGCGGUGAAAUGCGUAGAGAUUGGGAAGAACACCGGUGGCGAAAGCGCUCUACUGGACUUAUACUGACACUGAGGGACGAAAGCUAGGGGAGCAAACAGG
rnacentral:rRNA from 1 species